rnacentral:misc_RNA from 1 species
UUUCCGUAGGUGAACCUGCGGAAGGAUCAUUAACGAAUCCGCUCCUUAAGGGGACAUUUGCGCUCGUGAGCACUCAUGGGAUGCACAUUUACACAUUACUGUCAAGUUUACGUGAUUUGAAGAAUAAGAAACAACUUUUAUCAAUGGAUCUCUUGGCUCUU